ensembl:lncRNA
AGUCUGAAUCUGUUGAAAUCAUCAUUAAUGUUUUUCAACCUGAAAGCUCCAUGUUUGGUCAAAAUUACCUUGAGAAAUGUGAAUGAAUCACGUGAAAAUAAAUAGCUCAAAUUUGAAUAAAAAUAUUUUAGGAUGCUUAAUAUUUAAAAUGUCAUUUUCAUUCCCAUAGAUUAAUUUUUUCUGAUGUGAUGCCAGCACCUGCAGUCUUCAAUUUUUCUCUGGAUUUCUUUUUUUUUGUGGGGGGCCUUGUUGUUUGUUUUUCCCUAGGUGUUAAAAACUUCCUGGAAUAAGAAGAGCAGUUGUAAACUGGGCUUCAAUCAUCCUUAUGUUAUUUUCAUCAGCCAUUCAGUGUCUUCACUAUUCCCAUUGAAAAUAUCCUAUAAGAUAUCCUGCUGAGGACCUUCAGUGUAUUCAACUGAACUUGAGAACCUGCACUAUUGCCAGCCUACCACUCAAGGACAAGUCAGCAAGUCAAGAAGCCUAUAUAUUCUCACCUGUUUUGCCUAUAAACUGCUCUUAAACAGCUACAGCCUGUAAAACAUGCUCUGUAUCAUCAGUAAACUCAGUCCUGUGGGGCCAGGCAAGGAUCUGAAUCAUGUCAGUUACAUUCUGGAGACAUGUUCCCUACCACUAGAGAUGAGAAGAGAGACACGGAAAUCUUUCAGGAGUGCUAUGUUCCUGUCCUGUUCUCUGGCACUGCAAUCGAUGAAGAUGGAGCACACAUUUUAUCAGCAGAUUUCACAGAGACCAGCUUUCAGGAGAGAAAUCUUGAAUCUGGAUUUUGAGGAAAAUACAGCUUGGUAGGUGAACACUGCACUCCCGGGCCUCUUCUGCCUCUGUAUCAGACUUACCUUCUGCCACCUGUAUCCUUGUUCUGAUGGGUAACUUCAUUCCAUUUUCUUGAACAACACAAAAAUUGAGCUGCUUCUACCUUGCCACCUCCACAUCAAGCUCACCGUUCUCUUUCCAGUUUGAUAAAAAACAGUAGCAUGUGCAUCUCCUUUAAUUGCAGGUCUCUGCUGAGGCCAGUCAUGGCAUUGAUCCCCUUCAAAUACAUCUCAGAUGGUGGUACUAAGGGAAAAAGUGACAUUGUCAAAAAUAUGCAGGUGAAAUCAGUUGUGUUGGUUACCCAACCUAAAGCCAUGCAAUACAAUCUUGUCAUUUUGAUGAAUGAAUGGAGAGGUAGAAGAGACACUGGCAAUCAUUAUGUUUUGUUGCUCUAAUUCUUAACUGACUCUUUUAAAUUUGUGAUCAGUGACUAUUCAACAGAGAUAGCCUUCCAAAUGUAAAAUAUAGUGUCAGUGUUUAAACUGAUAGGGAAAUCAGGGUGGCUCAGGGCCUAGAUGUCACCAGUUGAAGAACUUCAACCCAGGCUCCUCUUCAUAUGAAACAUCUGGGUGCAGGGUGGGCAUAGGGCUGACCACAGCACAUCAAGACUCUGUUAAGUUUUAGUCACCGACCAUCACUGCAUCUUGAGUUGUUCCCAACUGUCAGAUGAUGUGACUUAGUCAAAACCACUUCAUCCACAUGGCAUUUCACUACUUUGGAUUUCCAACUGCAGACCCUCUGCCUGGUAUGCUUUCUUGCAGUGCCUGGACUCUCGCAUGUGGGCAGAAAAAACCCCUCUUCACUUCUCUGUAGAUCAAUACUAAUUAUAUACUAUGAUUUAACAGCUCUGAUUUCAGAAGUUAGCUAUCUGUAGUGAUUACGUCCACAUUUAGGUAUACUAUAAAGAAGGUCAAUGUGCAGUCAUAUUUUUUUACAGCAGGUCAGAUUAUAAAGACCCCUGACCUCAUUUGACUCU